GACGAACGCUGGCGGCGCGCCUAACACAUGCAAGUCGAACGGAGCUGAGAGAAGAUUGCUUUUCUUAGCUUAGUGGCGAACGGGUGAGUAACGCGUGAGUAACCUGCCCUGGAGUGGGGGACAACAGUUGGAAACGACUGCUAAUACCGCAUAAGCCCACGAUCCGGCAUCGGAUUGAGGGAAAAGGAUUUAUUCGCUUCAGGAUGGACUCGCGUCCAAUUAGCUAGUUGGUGAGGUAACGGCCCACCAAGGCGACGAUUGGUAGCCGGACUGAGAGGUUGAACGGCCACAUUGGGACUGAGACACGGCCCAGACUCCUACGGGAGGCAGCAGUGGGGGAUAUUGCACAAUGGGGGAAACCCUGAUGCAGCGACGCCGCGUGGAGGAAGAAGGUUUUCGGAUUGUAAACUCCUGUCGUUAGGGACGAUAAUGACGGUACCUAACAAGAAAGCACCGGCUAACUACGUG
rnacentral:rRNA from 1 species